CCCCUCUCAGGAUCGUACCUGGAAAAUUUCCAGUACUGUGCCAGUCUCAGCUAUGGGAGGGAAAGUCAAGCAGGGGCUUGCCCAUUCCAUUUCUAGCUUGGCCAGUGGCUAGCAGGUGGAAGACAAUCUGCUACAAGU